ensembl:lncRNA
CUGGGCACUCGUUUGGGGUCCGCCACCGCCGAGUGACUUGUCGCGUGGACCCAAACUGUCACGAUUCUCGCCACCGUCCCCCCUUCCCCCCCCGCCGUGCACGCCACGGUUCUCUUCCGGCGCCGACCACAUCCGGCCGUGUGUGUCAACUCUUGACCUCGCUGCUCCCAUUUCAGGAUGGUCUGCAGGCGCCCUAGGGAGGUCGCGGCCCGCGCAGCCUCUCUCCGCACCCCUUCCCGGCCCCGCGGCUCCCUCGGAGCGAGCUUCUGAAGAUCCACAAAGCGCUUGAGUGAUUUCUGUAACUGCUUGUUAGACAUCCAGAGGCGCGCAGCUGAACUUGAUUUGAUACGCCUUGCUUCCUUCCAUGUGAGCUGUAGGGCUUGGGUCCCACAGGACACCCCAGCAGACCCAACCUCACAGCAGCAAGUCCAGCAGAAAGACAGCUUCUCUUUGGCAAGCAUUCCUGCAAGCCCUGGGCCUGGCUCACUGGCAGGGUGGGUCACCUGUGCGUUCUGUUCUCCCAGUCACUGUGACCCCAUGGUGGGUCAGUUCUCUCUGAUACCUUCUCAUCCCCCAUAGGGAACAUGUGGCGGUUGCUGCUGGAUCCCUUCUGUGUCACGGGGACUAACGGUGACUCGAGGGCACCAUCUCAAACCAUUUCCCCAUACAACAUGCUACACCACUGCUUCACUUUGCUGCAGCCCUCCUGGGUGGCACAGGGCAUCCUGUAGGGCAGAGUUCCAAACAGGAAGUGGGGCACAGGGCCCUCUCUGUUCACAGCUUUCUCCUCAGCCUAUCUGGGAUUUCUCUGUUUGUACCAUACCCCUCCCUAGGUCAAAACUUGGUGGAAAGUGGCCUCAGACCCCUCAGGGAACCAGGUACCCUCGUCUCCCUGGACUCGUCCUCUCCAGUCUCUUUCCUCACAUUCCCUGUGCCCUGAGGGCUUCUACGCUACCUUCCAUUCUGGAGAAGGCGUCCCCUCCCUGCUCCCUGUGGACUUUGGGUUCGGAGUGGUCCCCACCCUGCCCUGCCUCUGGGGCAGUAACACCUCGUGGCUGAGCUGCAAAGGAGGAAAAGGCUCAAGGAAAGAAAAAGAAAAUUUCCUCCAGGGAAAAUAUAUCGGGAGAAGCACUUAAAGACCAUUCCGCCCAUUAAAUCUCUUUUCUCUGCGGUUGUUGAGGAGCUAGGAUGUUGGCCCGAAGCAGCUGGUGGCCGUCUGGCCAGCACCUGGGGAGGCUGUGCCAGAGGAAAGCAGAGUCGAGAGAUGGGCAGCUUUCUGUCGUGCCUGAAGCGGGGACCUAGAUUUUUCAAGUGUAUGCCCAAUAUACCCCCCACUUACCCCCAAGCAAAUUAGAAUUGUUUUUCUGUCACUUGCAAGCAAGAGGGUCCUGAGCAGUACAAACCCACAGCACAGUGCCUGGCACAUUGGUUUCUGCAAAACAGUAAUCAUGAUUUCAAAUCAUCAUCGUUUGUCAUCUGAUAGAGGAGCUAGUGAUGGCCAUCGAUGGCUGUAAAACAGUAGAAAUGACAAAGUGCGGUGCCACUGGCUCAUAAGCUUGGUCUCCCCUUCUAUUCCCAGCCUGCCCCUUUGUCCUGUGCACGCACAUCUUGGCCCCAGGGAAACGCUCAGCCUUCACUGAAAGCUGAACCCACCCAUCUUAUACAAAUAGUCCCAGGCUCACUCAAGUCAUGAAUAUUCUGCUAGGCAGCAUUUGCUUCCCUUUU